AAACAACUCUCAACAACAGAUAUCUGGUCUGCACGAUGAAGAACGCAGCGAAAUGCGAUACGUAAUGUGAAUUGCAGAAUUCCGUGAAUCAUCGA
rnacentral:rRNA from 1 species